rnacentral:lncRNA from 1 species
UGACCUGUGAAAGAGCAUGUAAAAACAUGUAAAAUGUUUUGGAGAUCAGAAAUCUGAAAUGAGUAUCAUGGGCUAACAUUAAAAUGCUGACAGGGCUUCAUUCCAUCUGGAGACUCCAGAGAAGAAUCCAUUCCCUUCCCUUUUCCAGCUGUUAGAACCCAAACUUUCUAUUUUAAGGUAAUUUUAACUUAAUCUUCCUAUCUUGAGGUCAACUGAUUAUCAACCUUCUUCAACCUUAAUUUUUCUUUGCUAUGUAAUCUAACAUAUGCACAGGUAGUGGGAAUUAGAACAUGGGACACUUUUGAGUGGCCAUGAUUGUGCCUUCCAAAGUGGUCAUAAUGUAUACAAUUCAGUUGUGAAUGAUAGAAAUAUGUUUUUCUAGAGAACUUGAAUUGUAAUGGUACUUAAAAGUGACGGGGCAUUGAUAAAACCAUUCUUCACUAUAAUGAAGUAUAUACAUGCAUGCAAACGCACACACAUAUAUAUGUAUAUUCUCACUUGAAAAUACAGAUAGAUAUCAUGAUAAUCUCAAAUUUCAAAUAUAGCCAGGCAACAAAAAUUUAACACAUUUUAAAGAAAUGUUAAAAGUUAUAAAAAUAGACACUAAACUUAAUAGAAAAUUAACUUCAACUCUAUUGAGUUGUUCAAAAAAGUAGAAGAUAAUUUAUAAAUUACUACAAUAAUACAAAGCUUUCAAAAAUAUGAAUUUAUUUUAAAAUAACAUCUAUAAAAGUAAACCCACAAAUUGAUAAAAUAGUUUUAAGAAAAAUCUCAAUAUAAGUAGCUAACAUAGAGGGUAACAACACACACUGGGGAGACGCUCGAGGGUGAAGGCUGGGAAGAGGGAGAAGAUCGGGAAAAAUCAACAAUGGGUACUAGGCUGAAUACCCGGGUGAUGAAAUGAUCUGUACAACAAACCCCCGUGACACAAGUUUACUUAUGUAACAGACCUGCACAUUUACUCCCGAACUUACAAAAUAAAUUAAAAAAAAAAAGUAAAAAUAAAUAGCAAAAAUGCAUAACAAAAACUUAAAAAAUGAAUGCUUGGUGAAUUUAAAGAUUGGAUUCAUGCAUUCUGUUGGAUAUCCAUUCCAAAGAAAAAAGACAAGAAAUCUAUGCGAGUAAAGUUAAGAAAUGUGGAUGAAAACCUAAAACAGUCAGUGUUCAUCUAAUAGGUGUUAAAGGAGAUAACUGAGAAUAGGGCAAAAGUAGGAUGAUAUGAAAAAUCUUAUUUAUUUAAAAAACAAAAAGGUUUACAUCUUAGAAAAUGAAGGAAUCCAAAUAAUAGCAAGCCUAAUUUUAUGACUCUGCGUAAAUACAUUCUAAAUUUCAUAAUUUCAGGAAUAAGAGAUAAUAUUGAUGUUAUCAGAGGAAAAGUGAAAAACAAGCACAUAUCACCUACAACAAUGAAAUGAUUAGUUUGACAUUUGUUUUUCGCUAUCACUAAUGGAGUUAAAGGACAAUAAAAGAAUGCCUUCAACAGUACAAUUGUUUUUAAUUUAACAAUAUUUACCGGUUACAUUUUUAGAUGUGUGAUUAUUUAGAGUUGUAAAACUUGUGAUGAUUCAGUAGUCAUGUGACUACUAAGAAAUAACUUAUUGAAGGUACACUGGAAAAACAAGCAAACAACAUAAUCAAUCAAAUGAACAAAGAAAUGUAAUUUUGAGAAUGAAAAUCGUCAUAUAAAGUACUUUUGAGCAAGAAACAAAUACAACUUAUAUGUUUAAAGAUAAUUGGUAAUAUAACUGUAAAGUUUUAAAAAUGGUAAGAAAUAUUUUCUUAAAAAAUGUAGAGAAAUAAAUAAAAGAUAGUUUUAAUUUUAUCUACUGGAUUAAAAUUACAAGUCAUAUAGAAGCAACCAUCAAACAUGAAAAAAUGCUCAACACCACUAAUCAUCAGAGAAAUGUAAUUCAAAACCACAGUAAGAUAACCAUCUCAUACCAGUCAGAAUGGCUCCUAUUAAAAAGUCAAAUAACAGCACAUGCUGCUAAGGCUCUAGAGAAAAGGGAACCCUUACCCGCUGUUGACAGGAAUGUAAAUUAGUUCAGUUCCUGUGGAAAGCAGCUUGAAGAUUUCUCAAAUAACUCAAACAGAACUGCCGUUGGGCCCAGCAAUCCCAUUCCUGAGUAUACAUCCAAAAGAAAAAGACACAUGCACCCAUAUGUUCAUCACAGCACUAUUCACAAUAGCAAAGACAUGGAAUCAACCUAGGUGCCCAACGGUGGUGGAUUGGAUAAAGAAAAUGUAGUUCAUAUAUACUAUGAAAUACUAUGCAGCCAUAAGAAAGACAAAAUCAUGUCUUUGCAGCAACAUAGAUGCAGCUAGAGGCCAUUAUUUUAAGCGAAUUAACACAGGAACAGAAAAUCAAAUAUCACAUGUUCUCACUUAUAAGUGGGAGCUAAACAUGGGAUGCUCAUGGAUAUAAAAAUAGCAAGAAUAGACACUGGGGACUACUAGCCUGGGAGGGAAAGAGAUGGGAAAGGGUUGAAAAAGUACCUAUUUGGUACUAUGAUCACUACCUGGUUGAUAGGAUCAUUUGAACUCCAAACCUCAGCAUCAUGCAAUAUAUCCUUGUAAGAAACCUGUGCGUGUAUUCCCUGAAUAUAAAAUAAAAGUUAAAAUAUAUUUUAUUUUUAAGAAAAAUCAAAAAGAAUUACAGGUCAUUUCAACAAAAUUUUUAAGAUGAUGAGGGAGAAGUUAAAUACCACAAAAACAUUGAUUAGUUUGGUCCAAGAUAGGAAAUGUGUAUGUAAACUCUCUCUCUCUAUAUACACAUAUAUAUUUAUAUAGGAUAUUUAUAUUUAUAUGUCAUAUAGAUAUUUGGUAGAGACAAAAUAUCUGUCUAUUAAUCUAAAUGUCAAUAUAUAUUAAUGAUGUUGAGGCAGUCAUUUGAAUAAUGGAUCAACAGCCUCAAUUCAAAUAAUCAAUGGAAUAGUUUUGAAAUUGGACUAUGAAUAUUCUCAUUUGUUUUUGUCCUACUUUCUGGUCUUGGAGAGCAAGUUUUUUGUUCUUGUAAUAAACAGGCAUGCAUGAAUAAAAUACUCACAUAUAAUGGAUUAUACAGA